GAUGAAGAACGCAGUGAAAUGCGAUAAGUAGUGUGAAUUGCAGAAUUCAGUGAAUCAUCGAAUCUUUGAACGCACAUUGCGCCCUUUGGUAUUCCUUAGGGCAUGCCUGUUCGAGCGUCAUCUAAACCUUCAAGCUCAGCUUGGUGAUGGGCGACUGUCCCCCCCCCUCGCGGGGGGGACUCGCCUCAAAAACAUUGGCGGCCGGUACAUUGGCUUCGAGCGCAGCAGAAACGCGGUCUCGAGCCCGGUGGAUCGGCUCCCAUAAGCCUAUUCUUUUAUUUUGACCUCGGAUCAGGUAGGGAUACCCGCUGAACUUAAGCAUAUCAAUAAGCGGAGGA
rnacentral:misc_RNA from 1 species